rnacentral:rRNA from 1 species
AUUGAACGCUGGCGGAAUGCUUUACACAUGCAAGUCGAACGGCAGCACGGGGCAACCUGGUGGCGAGUGGCGAACGGGUGAGUAAUACAUCGGAACGUGCCCAAUCGUGGGGGAUAACGUAGCGAAAGUUACGCUAAUACCGCAUACGAUCUACGGAUGAAAGCGGGGGAUCGCAAGACCUCGCGCGAAUGGAGCGGCCGAUGUCAGAUUAGGUAGUUGGUGGGGUAAAGGCUCUCCAAGCCAACGAUCUGUAGCUGGUCUGAGAGGACGACCAGCCACACUGGAACUGAGACACGGUCCAGACUCCUACGGGAGGCAGCAGUGGGGAAUUUUGGACAAUGGGCGCAAGCCUGAUCCAGCCAUUCCGCGUGCAGGAUGAAGGCC